UCAACCUGGGAACUGCGUUCUGAACUGGGUGACUAGAGUGUGUCAGAGGGAGGUAGANUUCCACGUGUAGCAGUGAAAUGCGUAGAGAUGUGGAGGAAUNCCGAUGGCGAAGGCAGCCUCCUGGGAUAACACUGACGUUCAUGCCCGAAAGCGUGGGUAGCAAACAGGAUUAGAUACCNUGGUAGUCCACGCCCUAAACGAUGUCGAUUAGCUGUUGGGCAGCAUGACUGCUUAGUAGCGAAGCUAACGCGUGAAAUCGACCGCCUGGGGAGUACGGUCGCAAGAUUAAAACUCAAAGGAAUUGACGGGGACCCGCACAAGCGGUGGAUGAUGUGGAUUAAUUCGAUGCAACGCGAAGAACCUUACCUGGUCUUGACAUGUACGGAAUCCUCCAGAGACGGAGGAGUGCCUUCGGGAGCCGUAACACAGGUGCUGCAUGGCUGUCGUCAGCUCGUGUCGUGAGAUGUUGGGUUAAGUCCCGCAACGAGCGCAACCCUUGUCAUUAGUUGCCAUCAUUAAGUUGGGCACUNUAAUGAGACUGCCGGUGACAAGCCGGAGGAAGGUGGGGAUGACGUCAAGUCCUCAUGGCCCUUAUGACCAGGGCUUCACACGUCAUACAAUGGUCGGUACAGAGGGUAGCCAAGCCGCGAGGCGGAGCCAAUCUCACAAAACUGAUNGUAGUCCGGAUUGCACUCUGCAACUCGAGUGCAUGAAGUCGGAAUCGNUAGUAAUCGCAGGUCAGCAUANUGCGGUGAAUACGUUCCCGGGUCUNGU
rnacentral:rRNA from 1 species